rnacentral:rRNA from 1 species
UACGGAGUGGGCUAGCGUUGUUCGGAAUUACUGGGCGUAAAGCGCACGUAGGAGGACUGGAAAGUCAGGGGUGAAAUUCCGGGGCUCAACCCCGGAACUGCCUUUGAAACUCCCAGUCUUGAGGUCGAGAGAGGUGAGUGGAAUUCCGAGUGUAGAGGUGAAAUUCGUAGAUAUUCGGAGGAACACCAGUGGCGAAGGCGGCUCACUGGCUCGAUACUGACGCUGAGGUGCGAAAGCGUGGGGAGCAAACAGG